rnacentral:rRNA from 1 species
UACGUAGGGGGCAAGCGUUGUCCGGAAUCAUUGGGCGUAAAGAGCGUGUAGGCGGCCCAGUAAGUCCGCUGUGAAAGUCAAAGGCUCAACCUUUGAAUGUCAGCGGAUACUGCUGGGCUAGAGUCCGGAAGAGGCGAGUGGAAUUCCUGGUGUAGCGGUGGAAUGCGCAGAUAUCAGGAGGAACACCAACGGCGAAGGCAGCUCGCUAGGACGGUACUGACGCUGAUGCGCGAAAGCCAGGGGAGCGAACGGG